CAGCAAUUCUGUUUCUCCUGGCGAGUUCUAAACACUUUAUAGUUUUUGUUUUCAUUGUUGCUAGUUCCCUAAAUCCCUGCUUCCCUUUGUUUCUGUAGCCUUCCCAAAGUUAAUUUUGUGUAAGGGAGCCAGGAGUCUGAACCCACCUAUCUGCCAUCUCAGCAGGAACAGGAAGCUUUAUUUCUGGUUCUCAAAGGACAGAAUGACAGUUGCGGCAUGUGGGACGCCACCUCAACACGGCCUAAGGAGCAGUGCUGUGUCCGGGCCCAGGAUCCAAACCCUGGGCCACCAAAGCAGAGCAUGCGAACUUAACCACUCGGCCACUGGACCGGCCCCAUCAGCUGAUCUUGACCAGGAUGGCAGAUGAGUCUUCCUAUGUGGCAAUGUUUGGCAAUAGGCAUACAGCAAAUGCUUUUUGAAUUAUGUUCUUUAGAUUUGAAGGUUAAAAAAGUUAGAGGGUUUUCCUCUUUACAGGCACCCAUCCCAAUUUCAUCUCCCUGUAAUGCUCAGUAGCUGCUACCGGGAAGUGCCAUCGCCAGGCUGUGUCCUAACUCAAAUGAGCUCUUGAGUGGGAGAAAAUAAGAUUUGUUGGUGGGCCUUUGGGUUAACAGCAGUUUUAAGCCAGUUUUUUUCCCAUGGGAACACACACUCCAGUUUACUUUAUCUUUACUGUUUCUUUGGAAUGUACUGGGUUUAGAUAAAUGUGGAAUGCCAGCUGUAGUACAAAGCAACACUUUUCAUUGUAGAAAUGGUCCCUGUUUGGUGAACUCUGUCUGUAAGGGAAGACUGAGAAGACAUUUAGACUUUGUGGGCCUAUGUGAUAAGAAAUGGAUAAAAGCCUGUUGGGAAACACAGACCUUGGAUUCCAUGUAUGGUGUUUCUUGAAAUGCAAUGUGCUCCUUGGCUUGGAAUUCACACCCACAGUCUGUUAUAAGAUAUGGUUCCUGUCAUGUGUGAGGCUUUCCUAUCUUAGGAUGGCUCCCACCCACCCCUGCGGCCUUGCCUGUUACAACCAAGGACAUUCCUAUGAGAUAAAAGGGUUGAGAAGCAAUACCUAGAGUAUUGUAAUACUCUAGGUAUCCUGAUGAUCUAUCAUCCAUCAUCCUGAUGAAGAUGAGUUUAAUGCCGUCAGACUGACAAGCUAUGUUUCAUGUCCUAUAUCCUGCUACAAAGGGCGUCUCACCCUGCUCCGGGAUUUCUUGCGUUCAUGUCUGUUGGGGAAGACAAGAGAGCCAGAAUAUUGUCCACCUUAUGAAUAAAGGAGGAGCAGCCAGGCUACAUGGAGUGGGUCAGGAGGAAAGGAGUCUCAAGGAUGAGCGACGGUUUAUCAAGUUAAGCAGCUUGAAAUGCUCAGCUGGCACAUGAAGGAGCAGCCAUAGGCCCCAGGGUAUCAGGACCACUGUCCACACCCAGUCCUGAGGGAUCUGGACCAUUUCACUGUUGGGAAUGUGAUCACUUCCAAAGGAAGAAGACGGACUUUGUUUCACAUUUUUGAUCACAGUCGGGGAUGAGGGAUGGCUAGAGUAGUGGACUAGCAGGUGAGCUCUUAGAUCUGCUUUCUGAUCAAAUUCUUGUGGCUGGAGGCAAGACAGAACGUGCUCGUCUAGGACAUUUACCUCAAAGUUGUGUCACAGACGACCAGUACUAGUGUCUUCUGGAGUACUUGAUAAAAAUGCAGAUUUCUGGGCCCCCUUAGACCUACUGAAUCAGAAUUCCUGGGGCCGAAGCCUGAAGAUUUGCAUUUAAGCCCACUUCCUACUAAUUCUUAUGUAGACUAAGGUUUAAGAAGCAUGGGUGUCUGGGUUAAUUAUGAGUUAUUCUUAUCAAUGAAAAAUUACACCAAAUAUGAAUUAACCGGGGCAAUUGGACAUCUGUUUGGUUUGCGGAUGCUGAUGAUGACUUUACCUAGUACUUCCCAGUUCCUCUACCAUCUUUCAGUAUCACUUCCACAUUUACUACUGAAGUUUAUUUCUCAUUCAGUGUUCUUUCUGUCGGUGCAAAGGAAAACAUCUUUGUUUUCUCUUUUAGUUUCAAUUUUUAAUUAAAAAUUUCUGAGAAAUCCUUACCUUUAAUGAAAAUGUUUCCAAAGUAUGUUCAAAGGGUGGCCACUAGAUAGAUGGUCUGAAUCUACAACAUCAGGGACUUUGAGAAGUGUAAUAUGGAGUGAAAAGAGCAAGUUAGAAAAUAUCAUAUGAUCUCACUUAUAUGUGGAAUCUUGAAAAAAAAAAAGAAAAAGCCAAGCUCAUAGAUACAGAGAACAGAUGGGCGGUUGCGAGCAGCAGGGGUUGGAGGUGGACAAACUGAACUGUCCAUGGAGUUCAACAAAUAUUUGCUAGUAUUUAUAUGUACAAGGUCCUUUGGACAGAGGAAGAGAAGUGGGACACCAUUAUCACCUGGAGGAGCAUACACUCCAAUUAUGUAGACAAGAAUAAAUAUACAUUUGAACUGUGGUGUUCAAACUUUUUUAAAAGAGCAUAAAGCCCUUGCUGUGGUCUAAAUGUUCGUGUCGCCCACAUAUUAAUAUGUUGGAAUCCUAAUGCCCAAAGUGAUGGUAUUAGGAGACGUGCCCUUUGAGAGGUGCUUAGGUCAUGAGAGUGGAGCUCUCAUGAAUGGGAUUAGUGUUCUUAUAAAAUUUAUGAGACCCCCACAGAGAUCCCUGGCCCCUUCCACCAUUUUAGGACACUGAGCGAAGGCGCCAGCUAUGAACCAGGAAGAGGGCUCUCACCAGAAUGAGACCAUGCUGGCAACUUGAUCUUGGAUUUCCCAGCCUCCAGAACUGUGAGAAAUAAAUUUCUGUUGUUUAUAAGCUACCCAGUCUUGGCACUUUGUUAUAGCAGCCCGAAUGGACUAGGACAGCUCUCUCAGGAAAACAUAUUCCAGCACUUAUAUACACAUGUUUAUUCAUGCAUAAAUUUUCAUAAAUUAUCCACAUGUACUAGUUAUAUGAUUUGAUUAUACACACUAACACACGCAAAUAGAAAAUUUAAAAGUUGCCAGAGAAAUAUAAAUAGAUAUUCUAUUAUUUCCUUCCCAUACUCCCAAGGAUCUUUUGUGCAUUCCCUGCAGUGCGCAUACUCCAUUUUGGAAACCAAGGCUUUGGAAAACAAGUCAUGCCUGCAUAUAAUCAAGCACUAAGUUUUAGGUUACAGACAAAAAGAACUUUAGAGAGAAAUAAGAGCAAACCUGGGGGACUGGCCCUGUGGCUCAAUGGUUGAGUUCGCGUGCUCGGCUUUGGCGACCCAGGGUUUCGCUGGUUCAGAUCCUGGGCGCGGACAUGGCAC
rnacentral:lncRNA from 1 species